rnacentral:lncRNA from 10 species
GUGCCAUGGCAAUGAAGGCUUGUUCGUUCUCUUGAUUUUGACGCAGGAUUCUUUGACUAGUCUGGCAAACUAAAAACAAGCCGAUUAAACAGAGAAACAUAAUUCCAAAAUUUACUACAGUGGAGCCCCCAAUAGACUUAAUCCAAGUCCUGGGGUUUAAUCCAGAAAGAUUUUCUGCCACCUGAUCUAACGCCUCAGCUCCAGGCACAAUGGAUAAGUGAGCUUGAGAGGCUUCAAAAAUUUGUCUCUUUAAUUUAGUUAUGUCCAGUGAUAAAUUAUCUUCCCUACCCAGAAGAUGUCUUUUGACCAUUUCCCAUGAAUGAUCAGUCUCGUUAUAGGAAUACGGGGUGAUGCAGAAAUCUCAAGUGUUCCAAUCGUACUGCAUUUGCAUGUGAUGCUCGAGACUCACUACCUGAUCUCCAAGCCAAAUAACAGACUGUCUUAAAUCACUAAUUUGAUUUGCCAAUUUUCGAUCGAUGCCUUGUUGAGAAUUCCACAUUUGGAUGGAAUUGGCUUGCCAACCAUUAACAAAAUGAGCCGCUUGAAUGGACUGGUGUAAUGCCAUUCCGGCAGUGGUGGCCACUGCAGUGACUGUAAUUAGGCCCAUGAUAACAGCAAUUAAAGUGAAAAUAAAUCUCUUAGAUCUUUUUAGAAUUCACUGUAACACUUCAUUAAUUAAAUGUAUUGAAGGGGAGGAUUCCCAAGGUCUGGGCAAAGUUACCGGAAUCCAGAUUCCUUCUUGAGCUCGAACCAACAUUACACUUUUCCUGGAAUCAAAAUGGGAGUUAAUACAAGUGUAUAAAUGACAAUUAAUGCAUUGGACAGUUUGAUUGUUCAUCCAAAUUUUGAUAUAUCUCACUAACAGCAUGCAAGGAGGCUUAACAGAACUCUGUAUGGAAACAGGUUGGAGGUAGGUAAAGCAGAAUGUCUGGAUCUACGUUGAUACUGAGAGAGGGAGAUGGUAGUGGGGACAACAGACAGAAUAGUUUCUGCUUCCCAUACUUGCAGUCCAGACAUGGCAAUAGCCAAUUUCCAAAGUUCUGGGUGUUCUGGGUCAGAAUGGGGAGUAUCAUAUGAGGCCUCGGAGAGGGGGUAAUGCCUUUAUCUUCCCAUUUUAAGGAAAAGAAUGAGCUUAACCUCCGAUGCAAAGUAGUAUGAUGAUUCUCGUUCUCCUGAUAAGAAAUAAAAUAAGUGCUGGGAUUACAGGCAUGAGCCACCACACCCAGCCCAAAUGGUUGUAAUUUUAAACAUUACUUAUAGAAAUUCUAAAAUCUGUCAAACAGAUUUAAUAAGAAAUUUGCAGCAGGGAGCAGUGACUCUCACCUGUAAUCCCAGUACUUUGGGAGGCUAAGACAGGUGGAUCACUUGAAGUCAGGAGUUCAAGACCAGCCCGGACAACAUGGCAAAACCUCAUGUCUACUAAAUGUACAAAAGUUAGCAAGACAUGGUGGCAGGCCUUAUAUGAUCUUCAUAUCCUGAACUAAAUGUAACCUUCCAGU